rnacentral:rRNA from 1 species
UCGAGGAUCUUCGGCAAUGGGCGAAAGCCUGACCGAGCGACGCCGCGUGCGGGAUGAAGGCCUUCGGGUUGUAAACCGCUGUCGUAGAGGAGGAAAUGCAGGGGGGUUCUCCCCUCUGUUUGACCUAUUCUAGGAGGAAGUACGGGCUAAGUUCGUGCCAGCAGCCGCGGUAAGACGAACCGUACGAACGUUAUUCGGAAUUACUGGGCUUAAAGGGUGCGUAGGCUGCGCGGAAAGUUGGGUGUGAAAGCCCUCAGCUCAACUGAGGAACUGCACUCAAAACUACCGUGCUCGAGGGAGACAGAGGUGAGCGGAACUCAAGGUGGAGCGGUGAAAUGCGUUGAUAUCUUGAGGAACACCGGUGGCGAAAGCGGCUCACUGGGUCUUUUCUGACGCUGAGGCACGAAAGCCAAGGUAGCAAACG